GCCCGGGCGGCAGGGGAGAGGAUGGGAGCCGGCAGCUGGAGCCUGCGGCCGGCGUGGACGACCCGACCCUUGGGCUGCAAAGGAGUGGAAUGAGCGUUCCGGGGCAGGGCGUGUCCCGGCUCUUCUCCUUCCUGCCCAGGACAAAUAACUUUCAUCUGGACUGGUAGGCAGCUUUAGCAGUCAUGAGUCCAGUUCCCUUCAUAUCAUCAAUAUGCUGUGCCCAAGAGAAUUAAUCAGUCCUGGCUGUGGCUUUUCCCAGGCCCUGCUUGAGCCUCCUUUGUUCUCCCAAGGGUGGAGGAAGAGAAGAUCCCAGGCAGGCAGCCAGGAUCUCAUUAAAGGGGACAAACAAGGUAUGUGCUGUUGCUCCUGGGAAUGGGGAGGGUGGGGAGAGCCUCAAGGCCAGGUUGGGCGCGAGUGAUUAACUCUCUGCCUGGAGAAAGGUGUGCUUGGCUGACUGUCUAUCUCAGCCCAGCCUGCCCUGGGUGCAGGCAGAGAGAGAGGCGGGGAGGCAGCAGCUCCAAGCAUGCUGAAUCCAGCCCGUAGCACAGUGUGUGGCAUAUAACAGGCUCUUAAUAAAUGUCAAUUGAUCAGUUGAAUAACUGUGCUG
rnacentral:lncRNA from 1 species